GGUGGGGUGGGUGGCGGGCAAGGGCGGCGCGCUGGGUGUGGGUAGGUGGCUUGCUGCUCCUGAAGGGGUACCCUCGGAAUUAUGGCUGGCUGGCCCGCUCAGGGAAAAGACAGUUUAGGAUUCUGGAAUUAGGAUGCGGCAGCCUCCUUCUCAUAUCUGGAGCCGCUUGGUCUCUUUUUAAGGCUGUAACCCUUUCUCUUGCUAGAGCCUUCAGAAGUCUGGACAACGGAAGGGUGCUGCGGGGAGGCCUGCUAGCUCCCCUCUCCUUUCCCUCUGAGCUGGUGCCUCCAGUGACAAGUUUUGGCUGUGGAGCCUGGUCUUUCUGCAAAGGAAAUUGGUUGGUUGUUUUCCAUGCUAGAGCAGCCUUUUGGAAGCAAGGCAAGGGGUGCACUGUCCUGGCCCCUGUCUCUGCUGCCCACGCCUGCCCACCUUCAGGUGUUUUCUGCUGCUGACUCUGAUCUUGAGCGGGCACUUCCUGGCCCAGCCAGCUACAAUGUUCUCACUUCCAUGAGAACAAGAAUGUCCGAUUUGGUCUUCAGACAAGGGAAGGAGCGCUGCCUUCUAACAAGCAUUGUGCUGGGCUCAUUGCAUCCAUGGUCACAUUCCAUGCCCACUCCCAUCGUAACACUCAUCCUAUCCCACUCCUUGUUACUUCAUGGUUGGUUGAAGUCAGCCCUGGCACUGUCACUGCAGGUUUCAAUACUGUAAUGGCACUGUUGGAAGCCAUCCCUGGGCCUGCAGAUACAAUUUCAGUCCCUUCAGUGCUUGAGGUGACAGGACAUUCUACAGGAGUGGGGGCCAUUCCUCUGGUCCAUCCGAGGCCUGUCUGUGCUACUUUGUGAAGGUUUCCAGGACCUGGCCUACUUUCUGGGUCCCCAGGCACUCUGCCUUCAGGAAGGGGAGGGGAGCAUGGCCUGUUGAGAGCUUGAAACUCAGUGUCUGCUUGAACAACAUCUCUAGUUGGAUGGAAUCAGUCUUGAAGAAGACAAUUCAGGAUCUGGGGCGGGAUCAUGGAGGGGAAGGGGAGGAGACUGAAAAACUCCUAUUUAUUGAUGGACAAGUCAGAAACCCAAAUCUGGAAGGACUUGAGUCAAGGUAAGAGGGUCUUCUGUUGGUCACCUGGACCCCUCUCCUUUUAUUGUCUCCUGUAGCUCCAGCUUGAGACACAUGGGACAGACUCCACAAGAUCAAAACAACCUAGGGGCAUUUACAGUCAUAGAAAUAUAAUCAUAUAGGGUAAUUUUAUAGAUGUUAUUGGAAUGUCGGGGGGGGGGGCGUGUGUGUGUCACAGAACUGCCCAUCAAUUUACAGCCUGGACCUGAAGACAGAGAAAGGAAAUGAUUUGUCAAAAGUUACUCUGGAGGGGAGCCAGGCCUGGGAUGGAGGAGUUCAUAGGUCUCUGGACUGACUCUACAGUGUCCCAGUGCUUCUAGCCUGGGCCAUCAAAGUUUUUCUAGAAUGAUUUCACUGUCCCAUGUAGGAGAUGGUAUGGGGGUAUUUGGCCAUCAUUGCCAGGUUGUCACUAUGUUUGCAGCCCCUUGUCUUCACUUAGCUGCUGUGGGAAAAGUUCCUAUCCCAGGCCUAAUGGGAUGGCUGAACACUUAUAAGUCGGUGAGUUGGUAGGGUCAAAAGCAGUUUAUGGGGUUCAUAUGCUCAUAACCCAGAGAACAACACUGUAUCCACAGAAUUGCCAGAAGGGGCUUGCAUCCAGAAACAGUACAGCCUAGAUCUGUGAGAGGCAGGCCUUCGGGGAGGGGGGCAUUCAGAAGGAUGUGAGGCUGGGUUCCCUGAAGGAUGGUGGACUGGCAGACUGAUUCAUCCUUGCAGGUUUCCGGAGAACUGAGCCUUUGCUCAGGGAGAAGCAAGACCUGAACCUGGUCCUCGUAGGGAAGGUUGUCUGGCUGAGGACAGUAUCAUCUGGGAGUGGAGACACUCAAAACCCUGCAGAUUUCAUCAGCUGUCAAGGCAGCACUUAAUAUCCAGCUCUGAAUUUGGGCCAGUCAAGGCCACACACCUGCCUUUUCUAUACUUUCAUCUUCAGAGUAUAUCUUCCCACUUUUUUGUUUAAGUGAUGAUGGUGUUUUUAAUGUCCUUAUGUGGCAAAAUAAAAAUGAGGGAGAAGACAGUACUUUUCUGUUGAUUUUUAAACAUCCAAUAAAAAUAUUAUUAAUAUCA
ensembl:lncRNA